rnacentral:rRNA from 1 species
UACGAAGGGGACUAGCGUUGUUCGGAAUCACUGGGCGUAAAGCGCACGUAGGCGGAUUCGUAAGUCAGGGGUGAAAUCCCGGGGCUCAACCUCGGAACUGCCUUUGAUACUGCGGGUCUUGAGUCCGGGAGAGGUGAGUGGAACUGCGAGUGUAGAGGUGAAAUUCGUAGAUAUUCGCAAGAACACCAGUGGCGAAGGCGGCUCACUGGCCCGAUACUGACGCUGAGGCACGAAAGCGUGGGGAGCAAACAGG